CUCCCCGUGUGUGUGGCUGUAUUGAGCACCUGGCAACUAUUAUGGCGGCAUAAUAGAAGAGGCGCCUGGCUUCAUAUACCGGAGCAUCGCACCAACAAACAUCACUUGACGACAGAGAGAAGUCAGCUGAAGCCAUCAUGAAGUUUCUCCGGGUCUUGAUGCUGGUGGCGGUGGUGAUGGCCGCGGUGUGUGGGGCCAUGGCCGACCCUGAACCUGAGCCUGAGCCACAGGGAAGCUUCCGCUAUGGUGGAUACGGCGGUUACGGCUAUCGUCUCUACGGUAAGUAGAGCAUUAUAAUUGCCUCUACGGUAAGUAGAGGCGCCACACUAGAGGGCGGCUGGACGACUCCGUGAACGACACCCGCCCGUGAGAACGACCACUGUCAACCACCCACGCCAUUCCUCAACAUCAACGUUUAAUCAUCUACAACACCUGAUGAACGUAGUAUCAAGAUAUGCCUGCUAAAUAAAUUUAUUAUACAUAUGAACAGGAAAUUAAAUACAAAUAUUGCCUUUUUUGUAAACUGUAAUUAUCACGUUUACUGUAAAAUUUUAUUUAACUAAAAAAUAUAUGUUGAAUGUUAUGAUGAUUUAAAA